ensembl:lncRNA
CAUAGCUGGAGUGAGGAAGACAGGAAAAAAAUUUUUUCUUUAUCUGGCUUUGGAGGAUGGGGAAGUAGACGCUGGCCAGGAAGGCAUGAGGAUUAGAGGUGGCUAUUUUACCACUAGAACCACCUGUGAAAUCCUGCCCUGGAGGAUGAGACUUUGGGGCAAAAGCUGCCCCACACCUGUUCUACUCCGGAAAGGUGUGAGCAGACCUGCCACCCAGCACCUGCAGCCGGCUCUCCAGGACCCCGGCCACAAACGACAGAAUAGUCACAGACAAUACCUGACAAAUGGGUGUGGCUGUUGGAGGGGAUGGCAAGACACCGUCCAGACUCUGCCACCUUGGCAUCUGGGUUAUUUUUAA